rnacentral:rRNA from 1 species
AGGUCUGUGAUGCCCUUAGAUGUCCUGGGCCGCACGCGCGCUACACUGAUGCAUGCAACGAGUCUUUUUUUCCCUGGGUCGAGAGGCCCGGGUAAUCUGUUGAACGUGCAUCGUGAUAGGGAUAGAUCAUUGCAAUUAUUGAUCUUGAACGAGGAAUUCCUAGUAAACGCGUGUCAUCAGCACGCAUUGAUUACGUCCCUGCCCUUUGUACACACCGCCCGUCGCACCUACCGAUUGAAUGUUUCGGUGAAGAUUCCGGACCGUGGCUCGUGCGCUUCACGGCGCUCUUGCCGUGGGAAGUUAUCUAAACCUCAACAUUUAGAGGAAGGUGAAGUCGUAACAAGGUUUCCGUAGGUGAACCUGCGGAAGGAUCAU